rnacentral:rRNA from 1 species
CCUACGGGUGGCAGCAGUGGGGAAUCUUCCACAAUGGACGAAAGUCUGAUGGAGCAACGCCGCGUGAGGGAAGAAGGGUUUCGGCUCGUAAAGCUCUGUUGGUAGUGAAGAACAAUAGAGGUAAUCACUGGCCUUUAUUUGACGGAAAUUACUUAGAACAUCACGGCUAACUACGUGCCAGCAACCGCGGUAAUACGUAGGUGGCAAGCGUUGUCCGGAUUUAUUGGGCGUAAAGCGAGUGCAGGCGGUUCAAUAAGUAUGAUGUGAAGGCCAUCGGCUCAACCGGAGAAUUGCAUCAGAAACUGUUGUACUUGAGUGCAGAAGAGGAGAGCGGAAUUCCAUGUGUAGCGGUGGAAUGCGUAGAUAUAUGGAAGAACACCAGUGGCGAAGGCGGUCUUCUGGUCUGCAACUGACGCUGAGGCGCGAAAGCAUGGGUAGCGAACAGGAUUAGAUACCCCUGUAGUC